UACGAAGGGGGCUAGCGUUGCUCGGAAUCACUGGGCGUAAAGGGUGCGUAGGCGGGGCUUUAAGUCAGGGGUGAAAUCCUGGAGCUCAACUCCAGAACUGCCUUUGAUACUGAGGAUCUUGAGUUCGGGAGAGGUGAGUGGAACUGCGAGUGUAGCGGUGAAAUUCGUAGAUAUUCGCAAGAACACCAGUGGCGAAGGCGGCUCACUGGCCCGAUACUGACGCUGAGGCACGAAAGCGUGGGGAGCAAACAGG
rnacentral:rRNA from 1 species